UACGAAGGGGGCUAGCGUUGCUCGGAAUUACUGGGCGUAAAGGGCGCGUAGGCGGACAGUUUAGUCAGAGGUGAAAGCCCAGGGCUCAACCUUGGAAUUGCCUUUGAUACUGGCUGUCUUGAGUUCGGGAGAGGUGAGUGGAAUGCCGAGUGUAGAGGUGAAAUUCGUAGAUAUUCGGCGGAACACCAGUGGCGAAGGCGACUCACUGGCCCGAUACUGACGCUGAGGCGCGACAGCGUGGGGAGCAAACAGG
rnacentral:rRNA from 1 species